UAGGGAAUCUUCCACAAUGGACGCAAGUCUGAUGGAGCAACGCCGCGUGAGUGAAGAAGGUUUUCGGACCGUAAAGCUCUGUUGUUGGUGAAGAAGGAUAGAGGUAGUAACUGGCCUUUAUUUGACGGUAAUCAACCAGAAAGUCACGGCUAACUACGUGCCAGCAGCCGCGGUAAUCGUAGGUGGCAAGCGUUGUCCGGAUUUAUUGGGCGUA
rnacentral:rRNA from 1 species